AGAUUGAACGCUGGCGGAAUGCUUUACACAUGCAAGUCGAACGGCAGCACGGGGGCAACCCUGGUGGCGAGUGGCGAACGGGUGAGUAACACAUCGGAACGUGCCCAUGUCGUGGGGGAUAACGUAGCGAAAGCUACGCUAAUACCGCAUACGAUCUACGGAUGAAAGCGGGGGAUCGCAAGACCUCGCGCGAUUGGAGCGGCCGAUGGCAGAUUAGGUAGUUGGUGGGGUAAAGGCUCACCAAGCCUUCGAUCUGUAGCUGGUCUGAGAGGACGACCAGCCACACUGGGACUGAGACACGGCCCAGACUCCUACGGGAGGCAGCAGUGGGAAUUUUGGACAAUGGGCGCAAGCCUGAUCCAGCCAUGCCUCGUGCGGGAAGAAGGCCGUUACGGUUGUAAACCGUCUUUUGGACAGGAACGAAACGGCGCGAGACGAAUAUCGUCGCGUUAAUGACGGUACCUGCCGAAGAAUAAGACCAACCGGCUAAACC
rnacentral:rRNA from 1 species